rnacentral:rRNA from 1 species
GACGAACGCUGGCGGCGUGCUUAACACAUGCAAGUCGAACGGAAAGGCCCUGCUUUUGUGGGGUGCUCGAGUGGCGAACGGGUGAGUAACACGUGAGUAACCUGCCCUUGACUUUGGGAUAACUUCAGGAAACUGGGGCUAAUACCGGAUAGGAGCUCCAGCUGCAUGGUGGGGGUCGGAAAGUGUCGGCGGUUGGGGAUGGACGCGCGGUUAAUCAGCUUGUUGGGGGGGUAGUGGCUUACCAAGGCGUCGACGGGUAGCCAGCCUGGGAGGGAGACCGGGCACAGUGGGAUUGGGGAGCGGCCCAGGCUCCAUCGUGGGGCAGGAGUGGAGGAUAUAUCCCGAUGUGCGGAAGGCGGGAAGAGGGACGCCGCGUUGGAAAUGACGGCCUUCUGGUAGGAAGCCGCUUUCGCUUGUAACGAGGCGUGAUGGAGUUAAAUGGGGAAAGAAGCACGGGUAAGUUACGG